CAAACCCCGGAAAGCGGAAGCUGCAGCCCGGCUGCACCGUGGUCUGCGGAGCUGCUGCUUCCCAGGUCUGGGUCGGCUGAGUCACGGCCCGGCCCGGCCCGGCCUAGCGAGGACGUGUGCCCGCCGCCCCGAAGCAGCUGCCACCCGGGCCCUUGGGACCUCUGCACUUGACUUUUCCGGCCGGGCACAAAACCUUCGGCCGUUGCCGUAGCGACUGGCAGUCUAGCGAAUACCCCCUUCACUUUUUAUCGCCCUCCUUUCUCAGUUCAUUGUUUGGUUAUUUUAGGGUCAGUCCGAUGACCCUAUAGGUCGGGCUUGGAGGGCGCCGGCUCUCUGGCAGCAGGCUGCCCUCGUCUGGGCGCUGGGCAGCCGGCUGCCUCCGAGGUUGGGGCGGCCUCCGUGGUCUCCAUGGUAACGGCCCGGCCGGCGUCUCUGCCUCAGGGGGAAGAUGCGGCCUGCAGGGUCCGCCGCCUCGCCCCCGGCCUCACGGGCGGGCCGGGGCCAGUGAGAAGGAAGGUCCCGGCCGCCGGACGGCGGGGCAUUGGUCACCAGUGAAAUCCCGUUCUCUGGCUGGAGACACAGAUGGCCUCAAAUGAGAGAGAUGCUAUAUCGUGGUACCAAAAGAAGAUUGGAGCAUAUGAUCAGCAGAUAUGGGAAAAGUCAAUCGAACAGACUCAGAUUAAGGGCUUCAAAAACAAACCAAAAAAGAUGGGUCACAUAAAGGCAGACUUGAUUGAUGUUGACUUAAUCAGAGGCUCAACAUUUGCCAAAGCCAAACCUGAAAUUCCAUGGACAUCUCUGACUCGGAAGGGGCUUGUUCGAGUUGUAUUUUUUCCACUCUUCAGCAAUUGGUGGAUUCAAGUUACCUCUUUAAGAAUCUUUGUUUGGCUGCUACUGCUUUACCUCAUGCAAGUGAUAGCACUCGUGUUAUAUUUUAUGAUGCCUAUCGUGAAUGUAAGUGAAGUCCUCGGACCCUUGUGCCUUAUGUUACUCAUGGGAACUGUCCACUGUCAAAUUGUGUCUACUCAGAUAACAAGGCCAUCAGGGAACAACGGAAAUCGGAGAAGAAGAAAAUUACGAAAAACUGUGAAUGGUGAUGGGAGCCGAGAAAAUGGAAAUAACUCCUCUGAUAAAGCCAGAGGAGUGGAAACUUUGGAAUCUGCACCCCUUAAUGGUAGUUUUUGGAGGACUCUCUUUGGCAACAGGAUGAAAAGAGUUAAAUUAAUAUGUAACAGAGGGACGGAAACUGACUAUGAUUCAGGUUGUCUGCAUCCUAUCAUCAAGAAGAGACAGUGUCGACCAGAGAUCAGAAUGUGGCAAACAAGAGAGAAAGCAAAAUUUUCCGAUGGAGAAAAGGGCCGUAGGGAGUCUUUUAGGCGUUUGGGUAAUGGGAUUUCAGAUGAUCUGUCAAGUGAGGAUGACGGCGAAGCCCAAACACAGAUGAUGAUACUGCGGAGGAGUGUGGAAGGGGCCUCAAGUGACAACGGUUGUGAAAUUAAGAGUAGAAAAUCAAUACUUUCAAGACACCUAAACACUCAGGUAAAAAAGACCACUUCCAAGUGGUGCCCUGUUGUGCGGGAUUCAGAUAGUCUGGCUGAAUCGGAGUUUGAAUCAGCAGCCUUCAGUCAGGGCUCUAGGUCUGGCACGAGUGGUGGCUCUCGAAGCCUCAACAUGUUGAGAAGAGACUCGGAGAGCACCCGCCACGACUCGGAGACAGAGGAUAUGUUAUGGGAUGACCUGCUGCAUGGCCCUGAGUGCCGGUCGUCUGUCACCAGCGACAGUGAGGGGGCACAUGUGAACUCCCAUCACUCAGGGGCCAAACGGGAUCCCAAAGAGGAUGUUUUCCAGCAGAACCAUUUAUUCUGGCUUCAGAACUCAAGUCCUGCCUCUGAUCGAGUUAGUGCAAUAAUCUGGGAAGGGAAUGAGUGCAAAAAGAUGGAUAUGUCUGUGUUGGAAAUAAGUGGCAUCAUCAUGAGUAGGGUUAAUGCUUAUCAGCAAGGAGUAGGCUAUCAGAUGCUGGGAAAUGUCGUCACCAUUGGAUUAGCAUUUUUCCCUUUUUUACACCGGCUGUUCCGUGAGAAGAGCCUUGACCAGCUAAAGUCCAUCUCAGCUGAGGAGAUCUUGACUCUCUUUUGUGGGGCACCACCUGUUACACCUAUUAUUAUUUUGUCUAUAAUUAACUUUUUUGAGCGACUGUGUCUUACCUGGAUGUUUUUUUUCAUGAUGUGUGUGGCAGAGAGAACAUAUAAACAGAGAUUUUUAUUUGCAAAACUCUUCAGCCAUAUUACUUCUGCCAGGAAAGCUAGGAAAUAUGAAAUACCUCAUUUCAGACUUAAAAAGGUGGAGAACAUUAAGAUAUGGUUAUCACUGCGUUCCUUUCUAAAGAGACGGGGCCCACAGCGAUCAGUAGAUGUGGUUGUGUCUUCCGUCUUCCUACUGACACUUUCCAUUGCUUUCAUUUGUUGUGCCCAGGUACUGCGUGGACAUAAAACUUUCCUAAAUGAUGCUUAUAAUUGGGAGUUUUUGAUUUGGGAAUCAGCUUUACUACUUUUCUUACUGCGCUUAGCCUCAUUGGGGUCUGAAACCAAUAAGAAAUACAGCAAUGUCUCAAUAUUACUUACUGAACAGAUUAAUUUAUAUCUUAAAAUGGAAAAAAAGCCGAAUAAGAAAGAACAGCUUACCCUAGUAAACAAUGUGUUAAAGCUGUCCACCAAGUUGUUAAAAGAGCUGGACACACCAUUUAGACUCUAUGGACUGACAAUGAAUCCCUUAAUCUACAAUAUCACACGAGUAGUUAUCCUUUCUGCAGUCUCAGGUGUUAUAAGUGAUCUUCUAGGAUUUAACAUAAGACUGUGGAAAAUUAAGUCAUAAGCUGAGUCAUGUGCCUGGACUCUCUCCCCUUGCUGGCAUCAGUGCUUACCCCAUUAAGGAAAGAGAUGACUGCAAACCCAUGAGACACCCACCUGCUUGUUCAUACGCAGAGUGUCUUGACAGGUGACUCAUAGAAGUCAUAAGGAACAAGAACAAUUAUCUCGAAGCCAGGAUUGAGCAGGCUCUGUGCAGAUUUCAGGUGAAGAAAGUGGAUGACUUUAUCUUUUUUCUCCUACAAAAACACUUCUAAUUUUAUUUGAAUUUUUUACACAUUGAAUUCUUUAGCUUAAAUGCAGUAUUUAGAAUUGUUUACUCCUGUGAGUUGUUUCAGUUUUGGUUUUGAUGGUUUAUAAUUGGUUUAAGUGAUUUUUCAGGUGGGUAAAUUUUUCUGUAUGUGUACUUGCUCAUGUCAGAAACUUGAAAAUCAUUUUUUUAUCUGCACUGGGUCUUCACUGUGGCAUGCAGGCUCUUCAUUGCCCUGCUUCAGCUUCCUCUAGUUUGCGGCGUGUGGUUUUCUCUGGUUGCAGCUGGCAGGCUGUCUAGUUCUGGCAUGCAGUCACAUGAGCACAUGGGCUCAGUAGUUCCAGUCCAAGGGCUUAGUUGCCCCAUGGCAUUUGGGAUCUUAGUUCCCUGACCAGGGAUCAAAACCGCAUCCUGCACACUGGAAGGUGGAGUCCUAACCACUGGGCCACCGGGGAGUCCCAGGAACCAUUUUUGACUCUUGCCUGUCUCAUACCUCACAUCCAGUCACCAAGGCUUUGAACAAUUAUCUUUUAGAUGUUUUUCUAAUCAGUCCAUUCUUUUCCAUCCCUGUUUUUACCACCCUCAUCUAAGUUAAUAGCUUCUGUUUUUGAACAGGAUUCUGCUUUUCUGCUCUUAAAUAUACAUGGCAUUCCUCUUUCCCAUACCCACCUAUUCAUCUCAAAAACUAAUGCGUGUUUUUUGAAAUGCAAGUCUCAUCAUUUAGAAUCCGCUAAUGGCUUAGUAUUUCUUUGAAGGUAAAAAUCUGAAAUCUUUUUAGCAAGGUAUAUAGGCCUUCCUUGUUGAGAAAUAUUUUCGAAUCUUUAUGUUUGAAAGAUUUUUGCUGGGCAUAAAAUUCCAGUUUUAGAAAUGUUGUUCCUCUACUGCCUCCUGAGUUGCAUUGCUUCUGCCAAGAAGUCUGUUGUCAUUCUCAUCUUUGUUGUUCUGUGUAUAACGUCUCUCUCUUUUUUAAACUCUGGCUACUUCUAAGGGUUUUCUCUUUUUCAUUGAAUUUGUGCUGUUAUAAUGUGUAUUGCUAUAGUUUGUGUGUGUGUGUGCGCGCUUGGGGUUUGUUGCACUUAUUGGGUCUCUUGAUUUAUAGUUUUCAUAAAACUUGGGAAAAUUUUAGUUGUUUUUUUUUUUUAAAUUUAUUUUUUAAUUGGUGGAAAAUUGCUUUACAAUUUUGUGUUGGUUUCUGCUAUAUAACAACAUGAAUCAGUCAUAUAUGUAUAUCCCUUCCCUCCUGAGACUCCCUUCCCUCCCCCCACCCCUCCAGGUUAUCACAGAACACCAGGCUGGGUUGCUGUGUUAUUAAAAUAUUUCUGCACCCCAUUCUCCCACCUGCUUCUGAGAUUCCACCUCACAGAUGUAUCAGGCUGCUUGAAGUUGUCUUACAGCUUACUGAUACAUUGUCCCAGUCUUCUGUCUUCAAUUUUGGAUAGUUUCUGUUGCUGUGCUUUCAACUUCAAUAAUCUGUUCUAAUUUUGCUGUUAAUCCUACAUGGUGUAUUUUGUCUACAGAAGUUUGAUACCACUUUUUUGUUUUUUAUAUCUUUUAUGUCGGUCUUUAACAUGCUGUUUCUUUUCUCUACCUUGUUUUCAUAACAUUUAUAAUAGAAAUAGUAAAUAAGAACAUUAAAACAGCUAUCAUCUAUGUCAUUCUGUGGUUUUUUUUUUUUAUUGAUUUAUUCUUCUUCUCACUUUGGGUCAUUUUUCCUGCCUCUUCACAUGCUUAGUAAUUUCUUAUUGGAUGUGAAUUUUACAUUGUUGGGUGUUGGGGUUUUCUGUGUGUGCCUUCUUUAUUCUUGAGCUUUGUUUUAGAAUGUAGUUAAAUUACUCGAAAAUAGUUUGAUCAUUUUAAGGCUUGCUUUUAAGCUUUUGUUAGGAGGGCCAGGGCAGCCUUAAACCCGGUGCUAUUUUUUCCCACAACUGAUGCAGUAUCUUUCUGAGCACGCUACAUGAUGCCCUCUCCAUGAUGGGGUUUUCUCAGUUUGACUGUAGGAACAGGCACUAUCCCCAGCUCAGAAUUUUUGGCCUGAUCCUUUGUGGUGGUCCUUGGCCUGUCGAGUAUUUCCUUGUGCUGAGCAUGCUCACCUGGAGACCUGAACUCUCAGCAUUUUUUUUGAGCUCUCUCCUCUCUUUGCAGCUGUCUUCUCUCUGGUACUCUGCCUGCUAAUUCUAGCUGUUCUGGCCCCCCCAGAUUCUUAACUCUCACCUCCUUAACUCAGCAAGACUGCUUGAUUGGGUUUGGGUUCCCCUUUCUGCACUGAAGCCUGGGAACUGCCUUUAAGUAAUCUGGGGUAGUCAUGGGGCUCACCUCAUUUAAUUCCACUAACCUCUUACUGUCUCUUAUCCAUUACCUAACCCCCAUUUUUUCACGUAUAUUUUUCCUUUUUUUUUAAGUCGUCUAAGGUGGGAGAGUCAAUGUUUUCCCCACCUUAGUGAAUGGGACAAAGUUUACUCAGUUGCUCAAGCCAAAGACUUAGGGUUUAUUCUCGGUUCCUCUCUUCCCCUUCGUAUCUAAUCUACCACCCAGUCAUGUUGAUUCUGAUUUUCAUUGCUAAUAGACUAAGCCUUCUUCGUGGUCACCUGGUUUACUAUGCUGACCCACUGUUCCCUUCCCAUCCUUGCCUCCUACAGUUGGUUCUCUACAGCCAUGUGAAUGAGCUUAAAAAUAUGGAGACUUUAUCAGUCCUAUUGAAACUCUUCCUGGCUUUCCUAUGCUGGCCUUCAAGGCCCUUCAUUUCAGGCCUGCCUCCCUUUCCAGCUUCACCUUCUCAGUAUCUGACAAUCACACUCCCUAUGUUCCUUCAUUACACUGAGUUCUUUCUUGUUUCAGACUGUGCCUCGAAUAUGCUUUCUUAAGUUCUCCCCUAAAUGGCUGCUCAGCUGUCAGUUCCUCAGGAGGACCUUCUCUUAGUUAAAGUAGUUCCCCAUCUUAUCCUUGUUAUCAGUUAUACAACUCUGUUCAUCCUUCAUGGCAUUUAUCAAAAUCUGAUUAUUUUGUUUAUCUUUUGUCACUUGUUUCUGUCCUUCUCCAUUCGGUUCUGAGUUCCUUAAGGCAG